rnacentral:rRNA from 1 species
GACGAACGCUGGCGGCGUGCUUAACACAUGCAAGUCGAACGGAAAGGCCUGCUUUCCCUUGUGGGUUGCGGGUACUCGAGUGGCGAACGGGUGAGUAACACGCGAGUGAUCUGCCCCCAACUUGGGUAUAAGCCUGGGAAACUGGGUCUAAUUCCCGAUAGGACUGCAGGGUGGUGCCUGUGGUGGAAAACGAUUUUCUAGUGGUUGGGGAUGAGCUCGCGGCCUAUCAGCUUGUUGGUGGGGUAAUGGCCUACCAAGGCGGCGACGGGUAGCCGGCCUGGGAUGGUGGACGGCCACAGUGGGACUGAGAUACGGCCCAGACGCCUACGGGAGGCAGCAGUGGGGAAUAUUGCACAAGGGGCGGAAGCCUGAUGCAGCGACGCCGCGUGGGGGAUGACGGCCUUCGGGUGGUAAACUCCUUUCGACCGCGAGGAAGCCACCUGGUUGGAAGGGUGGUGACGGUAGUGGUAGAAGAAGCACCGGCUAACUACGUG